rnacentral:rRNA from 1 species
CCUACGGGAGGCUGCAGUGAGGAAUAUUGGUCAAUGGACGAGAGUCUGAACCAGCCAAGUAGCGUGAAGGAUGACUGCCCUAUGGGUUGUAAACUUCUUUUAUAUGGGAAUAAAACGUUCCACGUGUGGGAUUUUGUAUGUACCAUAUGAAUAAGGAUCGGCUAACUCCGUGCCAGCAGCCGCGGUAAUACGGAUGAUCCGAGCGUUAUCCGGAUUUGUUGGGGUUAAAGGGAGCGUAGGUUGAUUGUUAAGUCAGUUGUGAAAGUUUGCGGCUCAACCGUAAAAUUGCAGUUGAAACUGGCAGUCUUGAGUACAGGAGAGGAUGGCGGAAUUCGUGGUGUAGCGGUGAAAUGCUUAGAUAUCACGAAGAACUCCGAUUGCGAAGGUAGUUCACUGGACUGCAACUGACACUGAGGCUCGAAAGUGUGGGUAUCAAACAGGAUUAGAUACCCCGGUAGUC